CAGCCGCCGCGGGAAUACGAAGGGGGCUAGCGUUGUUCGGAUUUACUGGGCGUAAAGGGCGCGUAGGCGGGCGAAUAAGUCAGGGGUGAAAUCCCAAGGCUCAACCUUAGAACUGCCUUUGAUACUGUUUGUCUUGAGUUCGAGAGAGGUAAGUGGAACUGCGAGUGUAGAGGUGAAAUUCGUAGAUAUUCGCAAGAACACCAGUGGCGAAGGCGGCUUACUGGCUCGAAACUGACGCUGAGGCGCGAAAGCGUGGGGAGCAAACAGGAUUAGAUACCCGAGUAGUCCCUGUCUCUUAUAC
rnacentral:rRNA from 1 species